GGUAAAGUCCCGCGGAGUUCUUACCCAUAACACAAAAAUGAAAGAAAAAAAGGGAGGGGGAUCCGUUGUUGAUAUAUCCAUCUGUCCCUUUACACAUAAAAUUCUUAGGAAUAUCAAACAAAAAAAAAAAGGAAUCCAACCAUUCUAUAGACGAUCCCGUAUUAUAUGAAUUUAUACAGAUAAAACAUUAUGUAAAAAGCAUUUCUCUACUAAUGAAUGGAACCUUACCCUAUCAAAUUUCAACCGUGAGGAGAUAAUAAAUAAAGAUUUAAAUAUACGUACAAAAAAAAAAAAGAAUCGUAAUAUUCAAAUAAAAUAUUUUUCUUGUUUAAUUUAGACACAAGAAAAAUAUUUUCUUAUGUCGAAUCAAAGAUUAGAAAGACUAGUAGUCUCUCCUAGAAACAUUUGUCCCUUUCAUUUAUCUUUUGCAUUGUAUUCUACUCUUCUCCUUUGUAUACCAAUUAUACAUUUCUAGUAAUGGAUACAAGUAAUACGAAUUCUAGCCAUCUCGCAAAAACAGUAUAAAUAAAAAAACUUUACAUAGUUUUUUUUAUGAUCAUACUUCUUGUAUCAAUCAAGAUAAAAAUAAACAAGAUAAAAACAAAAUUUAGACUUUUCCUUUUUAUUAACUAAAUGCUACAAAAUUCCUGUAUCUAAAAAUUCAUUUCAU
rnacentral:lncRNA from 1 species